rnacentral:rRNA from 1 species
AGAACGAACGCUGGCGGCAUGCCUAACACAUGCAAGUCGAACGAGACCUUCGGGUCUAGUGGCGCACGGGUGCGUAACGCGUGGGAAUCUGCCCUUGGGUUCGGAAUAACAGUUGGAAACGACUGCUAAUACCGGAUGAUGACGUAAGUCCAAAGAUUUAUCGCCCAGGGAUGAGCCCGCGUAGGAUUAGCUAGUUGGUGAGGUAAAGGCUCACCAAGGCGACGAUCCUUAGCUGGUCUGAGAGGAUGAUCAGCCACACUGGGACUGAGACACGGCCCAGACUCCUACGGGAGGCAGCAGUGGGGAAUAUUGGACAACGGGCGAAAGCCUGAUCCAGCAAUGCCGCGUGAGUGAUGAAGGCCUUAGGGUGUAAAGCUCUUUUACCCGGGAUGAUAAUGACAGUACCGGAGAAUAAGCUCCGGCUAACUCCGCGCCAGCAGCCGC